AUAUUCAGAUACGCUCGUUUGCAUAUACAUACAUACAUACAUAUGUACGUUCAUAGGCAUGUAUGUAUGUGUGUAUCUUUGAGAGCCACAAUUCGAUUAACACUCUGGACAAAAGCUCGACAACAAAAACAACAGCACCGCGCCGCAGCAGCAGCAGUGCGGCUCUUCGCUGACUUGGCAAAAGUAAUCAAAAGAAAUUCACUUCCAGAGACGUGCACAAAUUAUUGAAAGUCUACAACAAAAGCGACAGCGACAGCGACAGCAACAGCGACAUUCUGUUGAAAAUCGCAAGUGCAGAGCGAGCCCGCGCCGAAAGCUACGCUGUAGAUCGACGUAAGUCCACCAUUCCGACUAAGAGGUACCCUGUGUUUCGCAAUACUGGCUGUGUAUCAAACUGCUCCUGAAACAAUGUUGCAAUGAGAGAAUCUCCCUUUUCCCCCCACAAGUACAGGGUAUAAGCAUAACAGAGUGGACGAGCGCGGGAGGCGAGAGGCUGGGCGGCAAUAUCAUAAAAGCCAAAGACACUUCUAAUCAGUGGCGUGGCAGAGGGGGGCCAGCGCAGCGCAGCGCAGCAGAGCUCUGGCGUCGACUGCAAAGCUCUCAGCGAGCAAAAGAGAACAAGAGCACGCACAGGCAUACGUUUGUAUGUGUAUACGUGUGCAGCUGUGUCUUGCCGCCGAAGCAGGCGCCGACGCCGACGACGACGACGACGACGACGCCAACGUCGCCACAUUCGUUGUUGCGUUCUGUUCUGUUGUGUUUUUGUUUUUAUUUUACUUGGGCGCCGUUCGCUUGUUGCCUGCUGCUGCCUGCAGAUAUAUCCAGAGUAUAUUGAACAUAAGUUAUAUUUUCUUUUCCACGACAGAGAGCGCGCGCGCGCGGCUUUUGCUGUUUAUUCUGCUUUUAAUUAAUGCAAAAUGUAUACAAAAUAGCCGCGAAUAGGCGCAGCGCCCUGCCACAGCAACAGCAACAGCAAACAUCAACAUCAACAUGUGAGUGAGGUCGCAAGGUGUGCGUGUGAGUGUGGAGGAGAAUCCUCAACAAAAAAGAAGCACCAGAAAGAGCCAAAGCUGAGGAGAACUACUCUGAUAAGCCGUGGACUACCGUAGAGUGGAAAGAACUCAGGAGCUCAGGAUUGCAAUCACAGAUUUAAAUAAAUAUAUAAACAAAACAAACCCCGUGUGAAAUGAAUAUCCCAGAAAUAUAAUCGAAGAGCAGCAAUUGAAGGGGAUCUCUGCCAUAUGAAUAACAAAAGCGAAAAUGCCACUCAUUAUGCAUUCACAUGCAGGAACACACUCACCGCCGCCGCAUUCGACUGUGAUAAGUUUAUGACGCUUUACAACACUCGAAAUGCAAUGCACACGAACACACACAUUCGCUCUCUCCCAUCGCCCAUCAGACUCUCGUAUACCCUUUCCUUCGAUACACGAGCCAACAGUUUUUCCCAUUCGCCAAAGCUCAUUAUGAAUAAAUGACGUUUCAUAAAUUUGUUUCUCUGCCUCUGCAUCUUCUCCGCCGACAAUCUAUCAUGCGCUCUCUCUCUCUCUCAUACGCUCACCAUCUCUUUCUUGUUGCCUUUUUUGCUGCUCUCUGUUCUGGCAUCUAGCGAUGGAAACGUGACACAAAGAAUGCAAA
rnacentral:sRNA from 15 species